UACGGGGGGGGCAAGCGUUGUUCGGAAUUACUGGGCGUAAAGGGCUCGUAGGCGGCCAACUAAGUCAGACGUGAAAUCCCCAGGCUCAACCUGGGAACUGCGUCUGAUACUGGAUGGCUUGAAUCCGGGAGAGGGAUGCAGAAUUCCAGGUGUAGCGGUGAAAUGCGCAGAUAUCUGGAGGAAUACCGGUGGCGAAGGCGGCAUCCUGGACCGACAUUGACGCUGAUGAGCGAAAGCUAGGGGAGCAAACGGG
rnacentral:rRNA from 1 species